rnacentral:rRNA from 1 species
GACGAACGCUGGCGGCGUGCUUAACACAUGCAAGUCGAACGGAAAGGCCCUGCUUUUGUGGGGUGCUCGAGUGGCGAACGGGUGAGUAACACGUGAGUAACCUGCCCUUGACUUUGGGAUAACUUCAGGAAACUGGGGCUAAUACCGGAUAGGAGCUCCUGCUGCAUGGUGGGGGUUGGAAAGUUUCGGCGGUUGGGGAUGGACUCGCGGCUUAUCAGCUUGUUGGUGGGGUAGUGGCUUACCAAGGCUUUGACGGGUAGCCGGCCUGAGAGGGUGACCGGCCACCUUGGGACUGGGAUGCGGCCCCGACUCCUACGGGAGGCCACAGUGGGGUAUAUUGCACAAUGGGCGGAAGCCUGGUGCAGCAACGCCGCGUGCGGGAUGUCGGCCUUCGGGUUGUAAACCGCUUUCGCCUGUGACGAAGCGUGAGUGACGGUAAUGGGUAAAGAAGCACCGGCUAACUACGUG